rnacentral:lncRNA from 1 species
CUUCCACGCCAAAGAAUAGACGACUUAUGCAGCGAAAGAGGCAGCAAGCUUGCGGGAAGAAAUUGACUGCAUAUGACCAAUGAAUUUUGUCAUAUAAACAAAUAAGAUGUUUCAUCCAUGAAAUGCACUGGAUUAAGCAUUUCUAUAUUAUUUGACUGCAUAUGACCAAUGAAUUUUGUCAUCUAACUAUAUAUGCACUGGAUUUUUUUAUUUUAUUUCAUUUAAGCUAUAUACAUAUUUUAAUUAUGCUAUAUUUUUGGUGAUCACAACACGAAACCAAAUUUCCAAUAAUUUCGGUCAAGACUUGACUGAAAACGUGGCUUCUACGUCUCUCAAGUCAAAUUUAACAACAUCAGUAUUAACAUAGGCACUAACAUUAAUUUCAAUUAAUUAACUACUUCAUACUAUAGGAAUCAAUUUAUAGUUAAAAAAUUUCGGAGAAGAAUCUAUCAAAUAUAGGGGAGGUUAGGUCAUUUGGCAUGAAAAUUUUAAAUCUAAAGUUAGAUAUAUUUAAUUCAAUUUAUAAAUGCUAAACUGAUUAAAUGAUUCGCCCAUAAUUUAUUCAAUUACUCAAAUAUAUAAAGUUAUUUAAGAAUUAUAUUCCGAAUUUUAAUAGUUUAAAACAAUUGCAUUUGCGGAAUAGCAAUUCUUAAAUUUAAACAUCAAAUAAUGUAAUAAGCUGCAAAGUCAAGUGCAAAUUUAGCUAAAAUGGUAAAUAAAACUCCCUUCUAAACAUGAAAAAUAAUAAUUAAACUAUACAACUAAAAUAUAACCAAAAAAAUUAAACUAUACAAAAAAAAAUAUAACCAACUUAAAGAUCCAGCUAGCAAUCUGUUUUGUUCUUUUUAUUUUUGCCUUUCAAUAAAUUAGCCUUUCUGGGUUGCCUGACCCAUCAUCACGUUUGUAUAUUGUACAUACAGAUGUUGGAACCGAUAUUUCCCAAUGGAGGACUUCUGCAUCUUGGUUACUAGGAAUAUUCCAAAUUUACCUCACCUAUAUUAACCCAAAUUUAAAGCCGAGCCAAUCUGACUUGAUAAGUUAACAACUCAAAUACAUUUAAGCAUAACUUCAAUUCAUUUCAACUGAAAUGGAUUAAACCUAAUACUUAUCGGGAGUAAAAAAAAGUAAUUCCCAUGCGCAAAAAAUAUUCAACAAAUUUGUAAUGAUAAAUGACAGGAAGUUGAAAUUAUUCAAACAAACCGGAUAAAUGACUGGAAGUUGAAAUUAUUCAAACAAACCGGAUAAAUGACAAGAUUAUCUAAGUUCAAAAGCUUCAGCUUUAAACUCAAAUAGAUGAAAUCCGUAAUGAUUUCAACUCAAAAAAUAUUCAACAAAUUUGUAAUUAACAUGCGCAAAAAAUGUCAAAUGAAUAAAUAUUAGAACCCAUCAAUAAUUUAUUCCUUCUGCUGAAAAUUAUUUCAUUCAAAUUGCCCAUUCCCAAUUGAUUCAUUCCAAAUAAACAAAACCCUGAAUCCCAAAUAAACAAAACCCUAAAAUUUUAUUUUUAUGACAGAAUCGGUUUAAUCGAAACCUUAAAUCCCAAAUAAACAAAACCCUAAAAUUUUAAUCGGUCAUCGACAGAAAUGGCUUACCUGUGAUACAAAUCUCGCAGCUUUGCCCAACAAUGGUGUAAAGAUCGAUUCCAAACUUCUGUUGAUUCCUGAGAUGUCGGCUCCUUUUUUUUUCUUGCUAUUUUUUUUAUUUUCUUCCCUGUCGAAUCGCUGCUGUUACUCUGCUUAAGUUUCUUCAAAUUUUGGUAAAGGAGACGGAGGGGAGGGAUUAAGUAAA